rnacentral:rRNA from 1 species
AUGGUCGAGAAUAAACUAGAAGAAUGCCGAAAAAAGGAUAAGUUCCAUAAGCUGGGGCCAGGUGGCUACGCGGUGGCAAUGCCUAAGUGGGAUAAGUCUGAGAAAGAGAUGGAGGAUGCAAGUGUCACUCCGGUUACUAAGAGCUGGCCCCCCAGGUGCAGGACUUGGUUCUAUGCGCAUGGGGGGGGGGAGUUGGACUCGAAGACAGGCAAUGUUUCGACGAAGGCAUGUCCGAACGGAGCCGACGAUGCGCUACUUGUUGCAAUAGAAGAGACUCGAUCGGGGGUGUUCCAGCCCAACAGAGAGAACGACGAGCUUACGCGUGCCCUGGGAAAUCCUGAACACCCGGGAAGAACACGAGGCAAGGGCGCUAUUCCGUGGUAUGAGGGGUUUUCGGACUGGAACGCCAACUACAGAACCCGUGCGAGAAAGAAGAUUGCGAAGGAGAAGAAGAGGAAGAUGGAGGAGGAGCAGAGGAAGCGGGACUAUGAACGCCUUCAAGGCCUAGAAGCAAGUCAAGCAGAAUUGGCAGCUAAAUUCCAGCGGCAGCAGGAGCAGAUCGACUCACUUAGCCAGCAAAGGGGGUCUCAGCAGCUGCAGCAGCUAGCGGAUGAUCCAGCAUUGGAUACCACCGCCCCACCCAUGCCGAGAAGCAGCGUGGGUUCCGCCCCGGGCGACGCACUGCUGGAUAGAUACCCCGUGGAUGAUAUCGCGGAGAACACUAACUGCGAGCUACACUUCAAAAUUAAGAACAUAUCCUUGAAGGUGGCGGACGGUGUUGCUUAUACAAAUUCCCCCAAUGCAACCUUCCAUUGCAACCCGAUUCCAGCAGGCUAUGCUCGUGUCGUGGUUGAUGAGGUGGUGGACCAAUAUUCGGGGCUAGAGCUUGACAUUCCUGGAGGUGACGAGGAGCACACACUCGGAGAUGCCAAACAUCGUAUCAUCCUAUGGAGAAAGGAUUGCAUCAUCUUUCGAAGGCCACCGACACCGCGUCACCCGACUCCUCGUCGAAGUCCGCCACCGAGUCAGCAGACUCCCGCUCCUCCAAGUCCACCAACGCGUGAGGCCACUCCUCCUCCUCCAAGUCCGGCAAAGUGUCAGGCCACUCCUCCUCCAAGUCCGACACAGCGUCAGACGUCCACUCCUCCUCCAAGUCCGGCACAACCUCAGGCUACUCCUCCUACAAGUCCGGCACAGCUUCAGGCCACUCCUCCUCGUCCAACUCAGCCCCGUCAGCCGUCUCCGCCGCCUCAGCAAUCGCAGAAGAGACACCCCGCAGCUAUGGUGCGUAGCGGUACGAGUCGAGGUGAUAGUACAGGAAGUACAGGCGGAGGCAAGCGAUAUAAAUAUGGUCCAAACCUCAGUACUCCUCUUCCUAUGAGGGCUUAUGACAGGACCGAGGAGCAAACCAAUGCCAUAGUGCGGGCAGAAGUCGACACCCAUUUUGGACCGAAAUCGCCACCGCCGCCAAGGGAGAAAGUGCCUGUGGAAGUAGUUGACCACUUCAUUCGUAUGGCUCAACCACCAGCUCCUAAGCCUGUUGACACAGACUAUGAGCGCCACAUCAGGAAGUUACAUCGACAACGUCUACAGAAGGAGGCGAGCUCGAGCUUGAGCAAACAACAAGCAGCUGUCAAAAAAUGCGGGAAAACCGUUGCCCAGCUGGGAAAACAGGCGGCGCAAUCGAUCCCCCCGCUUGUUGUGCCGCCAACAACAUGUGACAGUACGCGCGCCCAAUAUUAUUGUGGCCAAACAGUUUACGUUCCCGAGGUUUGCGAUGUGAUAAUAACCCAGGAGCAUAUAAUGCAGGCUAAAGAACUCAAGACCACUGUUGGACAACUCCUCGAGAUCGAGGACAUGCCUCUGAUUACAGAGGAGGAAAUAAAACGGAAAUUUGUCCGGGCCAACCUUUGGUCAAGCCAGAAGAUGUCAACAAGCUCCAAACGAGAAUGUAUGAAUUGCAUCAAUGGUACAUGGACAUUAUCAAGAGAUCCAAUCGAGAGUCCCUCAUGGUGUAUGCCAAGAAGGAUGAUCACUACCAUCAGAAAGCUGUGGCCGUUGAGUAUUCUGAACUGUUUCAGUUAUACAAUCAAGCCGCACUCGACAAAUCUAUUGGCAGUUGCUAUUGUCUGUAAGUGA